AACACCGUGGCUAAUUUCCACCUGGGAAGUAUUUCCACAGGACUUCAGACACAAGCCAAGGAUGUGCUUGUGACGGUUUCUACAGCCACCACCCUCUGUGACCAUGAAGCAUCCGUCCUGCAGCAUCGCCUGUUCCCAGCAGGAGAGGAUGGCUGCAGCAGCUCUUUUGGGGUAAUUUCCACCUUCACUGGGGGAAAAUCCUCCGAAGGCUGCUGGUUCUCAAGCAAGCAGUACGGAGCCGCCGUUUGGAGGCUGGGCCCGCAGGUGGCAGCACGGCACCUUCAUAACAUCGCAGAGUCAUAGAAUGGCUCGGGUUGGAAGGGACCUUAAAAGAUCGUCUCUUUCCAGCCCCCUGCCAUGGGUAAGGAUGCCACCCACCACAUCAGGUUGCCCAGAGCCUCAUCCAGCCUGGCCUUGAACAUCUCCAGUGCUGCAGGCACCGUGCUCCCUUCUGCAGGCCAUAAAUUGCCCAUCUCUGUCUUUCCCCUCGAGAGAGAGGUCUAAAGGGCUGCGAGCCGUGAGUGAGCACAAUGAGUGUCCCUUAGGGAAAGGGAGUAGUGGGGAUGUUGUUAGUUCCUAUUGAGGGGCGAUGCCAAAACUUCACAGGAUCAGGCUUUAUAUGACCGGACAUAUUUAGCGUUUCAGCAGUACUGUAAAUGAGGAUGUGCCUUUUCCUGUGAUUGUCAGCCUUCGAUGGAACUCUUGGUAUGUGGUGAAUAAUAUUACAAUACUGUACUUUCUUAAACAUAGAGGACAUAAUAAAGUCCCACCCACAAAGGUCAGAUGCAUCUGACUCACUGUCGUUAAGAGUUAAGAGACUUCCAUUUAUUCUAACAAUAACUUGUUUAAAAUAUGAAGUCAAUUAAUUUCUUGCCUUUGUGGAAGUUGUCAUUUUACUAUGGCAGGGACAAUGCAGAGUUCUGGAGUCAAGCUAAAAACAGAGGACAGAUAUUAUUGGAUCAGAUGGUCAUUUAAGAUAAAUUAAAGCUACUUUGAUGAAAUCAGUGAAAUAUUAUUUACAUUUACUAAUUGUAUAUUUACUAGCUGCCCCAUAUAUUUAGAAACAGAUAUGUCUUUAAAGUAUGCUUGCUAAACCAAUAAUUUUAGAGAUUAUAGGAAUAACACCAUUGAAAUUCAGUAUUGUUAGGUAUUUUGCUUGCUCAUUUUAUCACAGUGAAUCAGCUUAGACAAAAAGUUACAGUUCUCACUUUUAUAUCACUCUUACUGUCUGGAGCUUUUGCAGAAGCACAGUACAGGUCCACUGUAUUUAUAUCUGCAUUGCAUUGGAAUAUUUAUGGGGUCUCAUCAGGAGAAAAAGAGCUUGAACCAUCAUCACAAAUAGCAAUGUAAUCAUUAUUAAUGAAAGAUAUUAGCAAAAAGUAAUCUAUCAUUAUUUUUUUGACUGAUAAUUCUAUGCAUUGAAAGCCUUUUGUGUGUAAUUAGUUUCCCAGUUUUACUGAUACGGUCACUUAGACCCAGAUCUUCAUAGAAUCAUCAGGGUGGAAAAGACCUUCACGAUCAUCAAGCCUAACCAUCAACACGACCUACUGAGUCCCAUUGCUAAACCAUGUCCCUUAAUGCCACGUGCACACAUCUCUUGCAUUUCAGUUUUGAAAUCUAGGACAAGCCCAUGUUUGUUAUUAAGUACCUAAAUAUCUUUUUGGAGUCAGACAUUCAUCUCCUGAUAAUACAAACUCAUUAAUCUGUACCUAACCCUGUUACAGUGAAAAGGCUGUUUGUCAAUCUAUAAAAGAAAAAGCAAUGAAAAGCAAAACUUCUUUCUCACUCUUUAAAUAACAAAAGUGGGCAGAAAGCUUACAUCCAGCAGUGCAAAGGAUAUCAGCCAAGUCCAGAUUGAUUUAUCACUGAAUAGCCUGUGAGUAGAUUUAAGAAUCAGCUGGGACUGCGUGUGUGUAUUAUAUGACUUUUCUUUCAUGCUCGCGUGAGAGAGCCAUAUCAGCUCACAUUACUCUGUGUGGUACUGAUGAAAGUGCUGCAUAACUGAAGCAAAAGAUUUCAGCAGCAUCUGGCAGUUAAUAGUAAAGCUCAAAAAAGUAGGAAGAACAAUGCCUGAAAGUGACUUCCCAAAUUAUUUUUCAGAUCUCUGCCAUUUUUUCUUCUCAAGCUGAAGGGGAGAGGGCAGGGUUCAAUACAACAUCAGAAUGAGUCUAAAUCUUGUUCAUGAUUGAUUUUGCUGUCUUACUUACAUAACCCACCUAAUCCUGCCACUCAGCUCUGUAAAUCACAGCCCACAGCCUUCUCCUAAGGCAUCAACCCCAAGGAUCAUGAUGAAAAGAAAAUCUCAUUACUGAUCAGCAGAGCAAGUGGUAAAGAAUGGAAAGUAAAGAGAAUUAUAACUUUGACACCUAGAUUGAAUCAAUUUUAUCUUCAUUUUUGUCCCAUGUUUAUUCUUACACACACAAAAACAUAAUGCCAGAGGGAAGGGGAAUGAAGAAGAACUGGGAUACAGUGACCAGAGGAGCUGGAGGGCUGGGCACCAUGCUUAUUCAUGUAUCCCCAGUUAAACCCACAAAUAAAUAGAGAGGAUUUACAAAGAGAUUAUUGAAGUCUCCAAAAGAGAGGUCUCAUGGGCAUAUCCUGGCCAGUAAUAUCAACGGGAGGCACCUCUAAAAAAUCUACUUUUAUUUAUUAGACCUAAGUAGUAGCUGAGCUCUUCUGACAAUUUAUCCCUAAUUGGGAGACUGAGCAUCUGGGAAAUCUGACCCUGCACACCCUCCCUUGGCAUCUGGGAGGUGUGGUUUUGUCUUCAACUCUUUGUGUGGAAAGCAAAGGCAGUGCUGAAAAUAUUCACAGGGGGCAGGGAGAGGCCUUGAUUCAGUCAUCCCUGCACUGAAAAUGGUUGGGGUUUUACGCCAGCAAAUUCAGUCUUGCUUCUUCAGACAGUUGCUUUCUGAAGGAAAAUUUGCUCUGCACUGAGAUUGCAAGGAGAGAUGGUGACUGAGCGUGUGGGGAGGAAGAAGGAAGCCCAAGCAGAAGGCAGCCGGUUAUUCGCAGGAGCCUCUCAAGGUGUUUGGGGAAGCAGUGCUAACUACACGUCUGCUGUCCUCUGGCCACAUGCACCCAGAGAAGAGCUCCCCUGGGGGAAGGGCCAAGCCAGAGGCUCAAACCGGCCCCUGCAAACUUCGAGGGCGAAGGAGAGUCUCCUGGUUGUGGAACACCAUCCUGCCUAUGCUGUCCGUCACUGUAGAACUUGAUCCAGCCCCUGGCAGAGCAGGGGCCUGGGACUGUUGUUCCAGCUGGAUGGAGGCAAUGCCAUUAGAGCACGCAUGACCCCAUCUCUCUUCGACCAGCUCUGAUUAGGAACCUAGUGUUUUGCAGCAGUAGCAGAACAAAUGCAAUCAGGAAGGCCACGUGAAAUCAAUUUCUGUUUAAUUAUUCAUUGCCUAUCUCUGUGCGGUACUGAGGAAAUCAUUCAAAACCCUGUAAUACCCAGCUACUUUCAGCUGCCUUCCUGAAGGAGCCAGAUUGUUGGCUGUCCCUCAAAAGCACGAAGGAAAUGGCUGAAAAAUGAUGGCUUUAUUAUCACAUGAAAAGAGUGAUGUGGAUGACAAGUGGGACUGCCCACCCUAGCACCAGCACUGUGCACCUGGCCAUGGUUUGGUGAGCUGGCCUGGCACAUGCUGCGUGUUGCUUCUGCUCUCACAUGGGUCAAGAGCUGGGCUGGGGGCUGAGGAGCCAGCCCUGCCCGUCCCGUCUGCUGUGAGAUGUGGCCCCUGCACAUGGCCGUGGCUGGAGCCUCAGGUCUGCACUGCCCCAGCGGGAAUCCAGCUGUGGUCACACCAGCCUGGGGCAGGGAGAAGU